GGGUGUGUAGCUCAGUUGGUUAGAGCGCGACACUGAUAAUGUCGAGGUCGAUAGUUCAAAUCUAUCCUCACCCA
rnacentral:tRNA from 1 species